rnacentral:rRNA from 1 species
CAGUCGUACCGGCGGAUGAUCAGCCUUUCGGGUGCGAUUCUGUGGGGCGUGAGGAGCUUAACCGCCUUCAUGUUUUGCAUAUUCGUGCACAUUUGGUGUACUUGUCUGUGUGGUGGGUUAACAUCAAUUUCGGUCGUCAUAAAAUGAUUGGAGGAAUGUAGCUUUGAUCUCGUAUCGAAGUGUUAUAGCCCCCUUGCCUGUAUACACUGGUUGGGAUUGAGGUUUCAGUGCACGCUUCGGUUGUGCUUUGAUGCUGGCGUAAUGGCUUUAAGCGUACCCGUCUUGAAACACGGACCAAGGAGUACUAACAUAUAU